UGAUGGUUGGCUGUGCUCAGA
rnacentral:misc_RNA from 1 species